rnacentral:piRNA from 1 species
AAGAAGGAUGUGAUAGAGCUGACUGACGAC